UAGGGAAUCUUCGGCAAUGGGGGCAACCCUGACCGAGCAACGCCGCGUGAGUGAAGAAGGUUUUCGGAUCGUAAAGCUCUGUUGUAAGAGAAGAACGAGUGUGAGAGUGGAAAGUUCACACUGUGACGGUAGCUUACCAGAAAGGGACGACUAACUACGUGCCAGCAGCCGCGGUAAUACGUAGGUCCCGAGCGUUGUCCGGAUUUAUUGGGCGUAAAGCGAGCGCAGGCGGUUUGAUAAGUCUGAAGUUAAAGGCUGUGGCUCAACCAUAGUUCGCUUUGGAAACUGUCAAACUUGAGUGCAGAAGGGGAGAGUGGAAUUCCAUGUGUAGCGGUGAAAUGCGUAGAUAUAUGGAGGAACACCGGUGGCGAAAGCGGCUCUCUGGUCUGUAACUGACGCUGAGGCUCGAAAGCGUGGGGAGCGAACAGGAUUAGAUACCCUGGUAGUCCACGCCGUAAACGAUGAGUGCUAGGUGUUGGAUCCUUUCCGGGAUUCAGUGCCGCAGCUAACGCAUUAAGCACUCCGCCUGGGGAGUACGACCGCAAGGUUG
rnacentral:rRNA from 1 species